rnacentral:rRNA from 1 species
AAAACAUCGCCUCCUGCAACACAACCAAGUAUAGGAGGUCCAGCCUGCCCAGUGACCACAAGUUCAACGGCCGCGGUAUUUUGACCGUGCAAAGGUAGCGCAAUCACUUGUCUUUUAAAUAGAGACCUGUAUGAAUGGCUAAACGAGGGCUUAACUGUCUCCCCUUUCAAGUCAGUGAAAUUGAUCUACCCGUGCAGAAGCGGGUAUAAUAAUACAAGACGAGAAGACCCUUUGGAGCUUAAGGUACAAAACUCAACCACGUCAAGCAACUUAAUAAAAAGCAAAAACCUUGUGGGAUAUGAUAUUUUACCUUCGGUUGGGGCGACCACGGAGGAAAGAAAAGCCUCCAAGUGGACUGGGAAAAUCUUCCUAAAGCCAAGAGAGACAUCUCUAAGCCACAGAACAUCUGACCAAACAUGAUCCGGCAACAAAGCCGAUCAACGAACCAAGUUACCCUAGGGAUAACAGCGCAAUCCUCUCCCAGAGUCCAUAUCGACGAGGGGGUUUACGACCUCGAUGUUGGAUCAGGACAUCCUAAUGGUGCAGCCGCUAUAAGGGUUCGUUUGUUCAACGAUUAAAGUCCUACGUGAUCU